GAGGGGUUGUGUCUUAAUGGAAAAAUUCCAUAGCCCACUUACUUCAAAAAAUUGGGUAUCCCUUAACACUACCAGAGUUGAUGCAAAGCAUGUUGAACGAAUCAUCCAUAACAGAAGAAAAAACAUCAAAUCAACAAACCUUUGGAAUUCAAUAGAAACGUGUUAGUUUACUAUCAUGAAAACACUGUCAACUACUAUUUCAAACGUACGGUGUAUACAUCCACCAAGUUGUCAACAUCAAUAGACUACUGAUUCCAAUAACAUAAAAAAUUAAACGAUGUUCCCAGGACAUUUGUUUCCAAGGAAAACUACAAAACUAUAUAAAUCAUAUGUAAAAAAGAACAAUGUGAGAAUCGACUCUUUCAUAAUACUGCAUACUCAAUAAAACAAGAAUGGAUAAGAUUAUGGUAAAACACCAGAAAAAGAUAAGCUUUAUUUUUAUUCCAAGUUGUUUGCCAUGCUUACUCUAUUUGUUGUGGUGUACUAUUCUCAGUAUUCAAUACAACAAUACUGACAAGAAUCAUUUGGGUCGUCCAUGCAAUAAUAACUUAAGAGUAGUGUAUCAUCCAGCAAGGGAAGCAUGCCGCGUCUUCCCCCCAUUUUGAUACAUUUUAAGAUUUUUCGCAUAAUAAUGCAAAAUGAAAAUCCACGCAACGGCGUUAAUAACGAAUCCCCUUUUUUCACUACAAUCACACGAUAGCAAAAGUAAACAACGUUCUAUAUUGAAUUUAUAUGAACAACCGUGAAGAUCCGAAUUAGAUGGACUUUCUAAUGCGAAAUUCCCAGUUUUCAUAGUCACAUUCGCUUCAUCUUUCGAUAAAUUUAAUGUUGGGUUUUCUUGCAAUACAUAACAUUUUAAUUGUAAAAGUUAUGCCAAAUAGUCAAAAACAACAUAUUUAUCACAAA